GCCGAGGUGGCGGAAUUGGCAGACGCGCUGCGCUCAGGACGCAGUGGGCAUUGCGCCCGUGGGGGUUCAAAUCCCCCCCUCGGCA
rnacentral:tRNA from 1 species